AGGCUUAACACAUGCAAGUCGAGGGGCAUCAGGAAGAAAGCUUGCUUUCUUUGCUGGCGACCGGCGCACGGGUGAGUAACACGUAUCCAACCUGCCCUUUACUCGGGGAUAGCCUUUCGAAAGAAAGAUUAAUACCCGAUAGCAUAAUGAUUCCGCAUGGUUUCAUUAUUAAAGGAUUCCGGUAAAGGAUGGGGAUGCGUUCCAUUAGGUUGUUGGUGAGGUAACGGCCCACCAAGCCUUCGAUGGAUAGGGGUUCUGAGAGGAAGGUCCCCCACAUUGGAACUGAGACACGGUCCAAACUCCUACGGGAGGCAGCAGUGAGGAGUAUUGGUCAAUGGGCGCUAGCCUGAACCAGCCAAGUAGCGUGAAGGAUGAAGGCUCUAUGGGUCGUAAACUUCUUUUAUAUAAGAAUAAAGUGCAGUAUGUAUACUGUUUUGUAUGUAUUAUAUGAAUAAGGAUCGGCUAACUCCGUGCCAGCAGCCGCGGUAAUACGGAGGAUCCGAGCGUUGUCCGGAUUUAUUGGGUUUAAAGGGAGCGUAGGUGGACUGGUAAGUCAGUUGUGAAAGUUUGCGGCUCAACCGUAAAAUUGCAGUUGAUACUGUCAGUCUUGAGUACAGUAGAGGUGGGCGGAAUUCGUGGUGUAGCGGUGAAAUGCUUAGAUAUCACGAAGAACUCCGAUUGCGAAGGCAGCUCACUGGACUGCAACUGACACUGAUGCUCGAAAGUGUGGGUAUCAAACAGGAUUAGAUACCCUGGUAGUCCACACAGUAAACGAUGAAUACUCGCUGUUUGCGAUAUACAGUAAGCGGCCAAGCGAAAGCAUUAAGUAUUCCACCUGGGGUGUACGCCGGCAACGGUGAAACUCAAAGGAAUUGACGGGGGCCCGCACAAGCGGAGGAACAUGUGGUUUAAUUCGAUGAUACGCGAGGAACCUUACCCGGGCUUAAAUUGCAGUGGAAUGAUGUGGAAACAUGUCAGUGAGCAAUCACCGCUGUGAAGGUGCUGCAUGGUUGUCGUCAGCUCGUGCCGUGAGGUGUCGGCUUAAGUGCCAUAACGAGCGCAACCCUUAUCUUUAGUUACUAACAGGUUAUGCUGAGGACUCUAGAGAGACUGCCGUCGUAAGAUGUGAGGAAGGUGGGGAUGACGUCAAAUCAGCACGGCCCUUACGUCCGGGGCUACACACGUGUUACAAUGGGGGGUACAGAAGGCAGCUAGCGGGUGACCGUAUGCUAAUCCCAAAAUCCUCUCUCAGUUCGGAUCGAAGUCUGCAACCCGACUUCGUGAAGCUGGAUUCGCUAGUAAUCGCGCAUCAGCCACGGCGCGGUGAAUACGUUCCCGGGCCUUGUACACACCGCCCGUCAAGCCAUGGGAGCCGGGGGUACCUGAAGUACGUAACCGCAAGGAUCGUCCUAGGGUAAAACUGGUGACUGGGGCU
rnacentral:rRNA from 1 species